GAGGCGAACCGGGGGAACUGAAACAUCUAAGUACCCCGAGGAAAAGAAAUCAACCGAGAUUCCGAAAGUAGCGGCGAGCGAAAUUGGACUAGCCCUUAAGCUUUACACGCGUUAGACGAACGGUCUGGAAAGUCCGACGAUACAGGGUGAUAGUCCCGUAGUUGACGACGUGUGUUCAGUGAAAUCGAGUAGGGCGGGACACGUGAUAUCCUGUCUGAAUAUGGGGGGACCAUCCUCCAAGGCUAAAUACUACUGACUGACCGAUAGUGAACCAGUACCGUGAGGGAAAGGCGAAAAGAACCCCUGUGAGGGGAGUGAAAUAGAACCUGAAACCGUGUACGUACAAGCAGUAGGAGCAGGCUUUGUCCUGUGACUGCGUACCUUUUGUAUAAUGGGUCAGCGACUUAUAUUCAGUGGCAAGGUUAACCAUCUAGGGGAGCCGUAGGGAAACCGAGUCUUAACUGGGCGUUCAGUCUCUGGAUAUAGACCCGAAACCAGGUGAUCUAGCCAUGGGCAGGUUGAAGGUUGAGUAACAUCAACUGGAGGACCGAACCGACUAAUGUUGAAAAAUUAGCGGAUGACUUGUGGCUAGGGGUGAAAGGCCAAUCAAACCUGGAGAUAGCUGGUUCUCCCCGAAAGCUAUUUAGGUAGCGCCUCGGACGAAUACUACUGGGGGUAGAGCACUGUUAAGGCUAGGGGGUCAUCCCGACUUACCAACCCUUUGCAAACUCCGAAUACCAGUAAGUACUAUCCGGGAGACACACGGCGGGUGCUAACGUCCGUCGUGGAGAGGGAAACAACCCAGACCGCCAGCUAAGGUCCCAAAUUACUACUAAGUGGGAAACGAUGUGGGAAGGCUCAGACAGCCAGGAUGUUGGCUUAGAAGCAGCCAUCAUUUAAAGAAAGCGUAAUAGCUCACUGGUCGAGUCGGCCUGCGCGGAAGAUGUAACGGGGCUAAGUAGUAAACCGAAGCUGCGGCAAUACUCUUUGAGUAUUGGGUAGGGGAGCGUUCUGUAAGCGGUUGAAGGUGUGUGGUAACGCAUGCUGGACGUAUCAGAAGUGCGAAUGCUGACAUGAGUAACGAUAAAGGGGGUGAAAAACCUCCUCGCCGGAAGACCAAGGGUUCCUGUCCAACGUUAAUCGGGGCAGGGUAAGUCGACCCCUAAGGCGAGGCCGAAAGGCGUAGUCGAUGGGAAACGGGUUAAUAUUCCCGUACUUCUUACAAUUGCGAUGGGGGGACGGAGAAGGCUAGGUGGGCCUGGCGACGGUUGUCCAGGUUCAAGUGCGUAGGCUUAAGAGUUAGGUAAAUCCGGCUCUUUCUAAGGCUGAGACACGACGUCGAGCACCUACGGGUGUGAAGUCAUUGAUGCCAUGCUUCCAGGAAAAGCCUCUAAGCUUCAGAUUGUAAGGAAUCGUACCCCAAACCGACACAGGUGGUCGGGUAGAGAAUACCAAGGCGCUUGAGAGAACUCGGGUGAAGGAACUAGGCAAAAUGGUACCGUAACUUCGGGAGAAGGUACGCUCUCGACGGUGAAGUCCCUCGCGGAUGGAGCUAUUGAGAGUCGCAGAUACCAGGUGGCUGCAACUGUUUAUUAAAAACACAGCACUGUGCAAAAUCGUAAGAUGACGUAUACGGUGUGACGCCUGCCCGGUGCCGGAAGGUUAAUUGAUGGGGUUAGACUUCGGUCGAAGCUCUUGAUCGAAGCCCCGGUAAACGGCGGCCGUAACUAUAACGGUCCUAAGGUAGCGAAAUUCCUUGUCGGGUAAGUUCCGACCUGCACGAAUGGCGUAAUGAUGGCCACGCUGUCUCCACCCGAGACUCAGUGAAAUUGAAAUCGCUGUGAAGAUGCAGUGUACCCGCGGCUAGACGGAAAGACCCCGUGAACCUUUACUACAGCUUGGCACUGAACAUUGACCCUACAUGUGUAGGAUAGGUGGGAGGCUUUGAAGCACGUACGCCAGUAUGUGUGGAGCCGUCCUUGAAAUACCACCCUUGUAGUGUUGAUGUUCUAACGUCGACCCCUAAUCGGGGUUGCGGACAGUGCCUGGUGGGUAGUUUGACUGGGGCGGUCUCCUCCCAAAGAGUAACGGAGGAGCACGAAGGUGGGCUAAUCACGGUUGGACAUCGUGAGGUUAGUGCAAUGGCAUAAGCCCGCUUGACUGCGAGAAUGACAAUUCGAGCAGGUGCGAAAGCAGGUCAUAGUGAUCCGGUGGUUCUGAAUGGAAGGGCCAUCGCUCAACGGAUAAAAGGUACUCCGGGGAUAACAGGCUGAUACCGCCCAAGAGUUCAUAUCGACGGCGGUGUUUGGCACCUCGAUGUCGGCUCAUCACAUCCUGGGGCUGAAGUCGGUCCCAAGGGUAUGGCUGUUCGCCAUUUAAAGUGGUACGCGAGCUGGGUUUAGAACGUCGUGAGACAGUUCGGUCCCUAUCUGCCGUGGGCGUUGGAAGAUUGAAGGGGGCUGCUCCUAGUACGAGAGGACCGGAGUGGACGAACCUCUGGUGUUCGGGUUGUGUCGCCAGACGCAUUGCCCGGUAGCUAAGUUCGGAAUCGAUAACCGCUGAAAGCAUCUAAGCGGGAAGCGAGCCCUGAGAUGAGUCUUCCCUGAUACUUUAAGUAUCCUAAAGGGUUGUCGGAGACUACGACGUUGAUAGGUCAGGUGUGUAAGUGCUGUGAGGCAUUGAGCUAACUGAUACUAAUUGCCCGUGAGGCUUAACCAUACAACACCCAAGGGGUUU
rnacentral:rRNA from 1 species